rnacentral:rRNA from 1 species
CCAAUAGCGUAUAUUAAAGUUGUUGCAGUUAAAGAGCUCGUAGUUGAAUUUCGGGAUUAGUGCGCCGGUCGUGCCUUCGGUAUGUACUGGUGUUACUGGUUCCUACCUUCUGACGAACCGUCAUGUCAUUAAUUUGGUGUGGCGGGGAAGCAGGACUGUUACUUUGAAAAAAUUAGAGUGUUUAAAGCAGGCUCGCGCUUGAAUACAUUAGCAUGGAAUAAUGAAAUAGGACGUUCGAUCCUAUUUUGUUGGUUUCUAGGAUGGACGUAAUGAUUAAUAGGGAUAGUUGGGGGCAUUAGUAUUCAAUUGUCAGAGGUGAAAUUCUUGGAUUUAUUGAAGACUAACUACUGCGAAAGCAUUUGCCAAGGAUGUUCUCAUUAAUCAAGAACGAAAGUUAGGGGAUCGAAGACGAUCAGAUACCGUCGUGGUCUUAACCAUAAACUAUGCCGACUAGGGAUCGGAUGAUGUUAUUUUUAAUGACUCAUUCGGCGCCUUACG